rnacentral:rRNA from 1 species
UACGUAGGUGGCAAGCGUUAUCCGGAUUUAUUGGGUGUAUAGGGCGUGUAGGCGGGAGCGCAAGUCAGAUGUGAAAACUCAGGGCUCAACCCUGAGCCUGCAUUUGAAACUGUGUUUCUUGAGUGCUGGAGAGGCAAUCGGAAUUCCGUGUGUAGCGGUGAAAUGCGUAGAUAUACGGAGGAACACCAGUGGCGAAGGCGGAUUGCUGGACAGUAACUGACGCUGAGGCGCGAAAGCGUGGGGAGCAAACAGG